GGUAUGUGUUGGACUAUUGUUCGUGUUUUAUUUUCAUGUUGAAUACACGAGCAUGUAUUCAAAGAAAUGUGUUUAGUGUUUGUAUUGGAUAAUAUCAUAUAAAAUGAAAAUUGAUCAAUUCGGUAUAAAAAACGCAGCAGGUUGCCAGAAUUUUACUUUAAAACUUCAAUGAAGGUUACAGGACCAUGCCAAGAACUGAGGAAGCCAUAAUUAUCUGAUCGUAGCGGCGUUUGAUUUUGGUGCCACAUACAGCGGAUAUGCCUUUUCGUAUAGAGAUGAUCCAUCCAGAGUGUUCGUAAAUCAAACCUGCUAUUCUGGCGAUUCCUCCGCUAGUCUCGCUUCGCUAAAAACCCCGACAAGCGUAUUACUCGAUGCGAAUGGGAAGUUUCAUUCUUUUGGAUUUGAAGCCGAGGACGAAUUUGCUUUACUGGCGGAGGACAAACAACACAAAGGCUAGAGACUAUUCAGACGUUUUAAAAUGAUGCUACACAACAAUAAGAAUUUGUCACGUGAUACAACCGUGGACGACAUCGAAGGCAACCCCUAUCCUGCAAUGAAAAUAUUUUCUAUGGCGAUAAAGUACUGACAGAAAAAACUUUUGGAUGCUGUUCAAGCACAAACAAUUGGCAUACUUGAGACGGAUAUUAAGUACGUAAUUACUGUUCCUGCUAUAUGGGACAUCAAUGCAAAGCAGUUCAUGCGAGAGGCGGCACUAAAGGCCGGCAUUGAUGGAGAUCGACUCAUGCUGGCGUUUGAGUCCGAGGUUGCCGCUGUAUGGUGCACACGGAACGAGAUCACUGACCAUCAAGUAUCUGACUUACGAUCGACCGGAGCUAAAUACAUGGUCAUCGAUCUAGGAGGAGGAACCGCAGACAUUACGGUGCAUGAAAAAAAUUCAAACGACAGCUUCAAAAUUAUACACAAGGCGAACGGUGGCGCUUGGGGCGGACAUGUUGUCGACGAGCAGUUCUUGGGCUACUUAGAAAAGCUCUACGGAAAGAGCGUGUUUAACGAAUUUCGGAGACAAAACAUCAAUGACUUUUUUGAGUUGAUCAGGUAAUUUGAAACCAAAAAACGAUCAAACUUUCUGUCCCACAAGUUUUUUUACAGUGAAACUACCAAGCGCGUUGAAGGAAAUUCGCCGUGCAAGGAAUUCAAGUUACUUCGGAAAUUUACUGAAAUGGUUCAGAUGGUCGAGCUCCGACGAAAAGUCAAUCUUGUAUGCAGAAAAGAUUCGUUUGGAUUCAUCGGACGUUAUUGCAUGGUUUGAUAAGCCUAUAUCACUUCUUGUCCAGCACGUCAGAAAGCUCUUGGGUGAUGGCACUAUUGUGGACGUUCGCACACUAUUACUUGUCGGAGGAUUCGCAGAGUCAGGCUUUGUUCAAGAAAGGCUAAAGAAAGAGUUUAGUGGAAUCACGUAAAUUGUUUCGAAAGAUGCGGAAUUAGCGAUUAUGAACGGAGCGGUGAUGUUUGGACACAAUCCAGAUUUAGUAACAUCACGAGUCAUGGCUCACACUUACGGCAUUAGUGUGUACAUUCGCUUUGAUGAAACGAUAUAUCCACAAGAUAAUAAAGUUCUCGUUAAUGGUGAAUGGAAUGUGAGCAAUUGUUUCGAAGUAUCACGAGUAGUCGCAUAACUUUUCACCGACCAGCAUUUCGUCAGUCAUUCCAGUAUACAGAACAAUAUCAGAUAUUCCUAAAUAUAUUACUGAUCCUGGUUGUGAAUUGUUGGGUCAAUUGACAAUCAAAAAUAUUGAACACUUACCGUUCAAUGACCAGUCACUCAAUUUGACCUUCAUGUUUGGCCACACAGAGCUGCUUGUGAAAGUUAAGCAUAUGCACACUGGUGAAGAACAAAUGCAAACACUAGAUUGGCUGCAAUAGGAUUUUUUUUCAAGACUUUGCUGUGAAGAAAGGUUUCGGGGUCGAAUUAUAUGCUACACGUUUCUUGACUGAUGCAUUAUAAUUAUUUCCCUUAGUUUUCUCUGCCAAUUAAUCAACAUAGACAUGUUGCUUUUAAUUCAACGAGUAACUUUAUAUUUUUGUUAGUUGUGAUGUAUUUAACAUUUUAAGAGCAUUUGAUAUAUCACGAAUAUGUUAAAUAAAAUCGUUAUGCUAAAUUCGUAUGGUUUCUGUGUUUGUUAAUAAAAACUAUCAAGCAGGCUUUGUCUAACACGAAGGUCAAUAGGGCAAUUUGAAACGGGGGGGGGGGGGGAUUCCGAAUUCUUGUAUAUAAAGACUUGUAUUUUGAUGAAAGUUGUAACUGGACCUCAUAAACUUCGAAAUACGCUCACACUUAGAGUCACGACUCUCAGUCAGCAGCGGGAUCAUGCAAGUCGCGGCCAGAGCGAGAGUCACCCGCAGCGGAUUAUGUUGAAGAGUCCUCGGUAGAAUGGCCAAGCGGAAUGGUAUUUGUCCGCAGAUGGAUAGUGGUUUUCACCUUCUGAAUAGGGUCGGCUAAGAGACCUGCAAGCGGCUCGUAAAUGUAGCCAGUACCGCCAUCACUCGAGCCUGAAUGUGCUUGGGAAACCGUUCUGGUGUUCGGGUCGACUGCGGGUGACGUAUAGAGCGGUUAAAAGCGGUGCAGCGCGCUAGAAGCGGAAAGAAGAUGUCUUUGGCGAUUGUUAGCACUACCUUGGCGGAGUGGUUUUGUCCCCUCGAGGGUGUUGGCAACCAGAUUUGAAUUUUCUUGAAAUUAUCUAACGGUUCAUAUUAUGGUCUUAUUUGCCAAUGUGCGCUGGAAAGUUAAUGAUUAUUCAAUUUUAAGAAGUUGUAAUUUAUUUGAUGGUUAGCCAUGACUAUAACGACACUCAUUAUCAUGAUUGCCGGUGUUCGUUUGAAAGUAGGUCAUGUUUAUUCCAAAGUGAUUCUAUGAUUUUUUAACUACGUAACACACAAUUAUGUUUGUUUGUUUAUGGGUUAAUUGUAGCUUGAUCAAAUGUUUUAUAUGCCGCUUAUUUUUGAAUAAAAUGUAAAGAAUAUUUUAAGAACAACAUGA